CCGGCCUUGGCCACGGUACGCGUGCAAGGCCGACCGCCACAGAGAGCUUCAAGGGGUAGGAAUCUCUCUCGGCGAGUUUGCAGAGCCACUGACGGGUGCAAAGACGGCACACGGAACACCCCUGCGGAGCAUGCAGGGACACGAGGUUUCCAAGAUUACGCUAUAUACUCUUCCUUGUACAAGGAACAGCUCUCGAGUGCUGCACGGAGAGCUGCAGACACUUCGGUGAAGCUGGGACGACUUUCCGGCCUGCAAGUGGGACGAGGAGGGAAAUUAGUGUGCUGGGCUCCGACUCUGCGGGCAUUCAGCCAGCGCCACAUAGACAAAAAAAGCCUGAUCGCUUGAAACGAGUCUGCCAAUCACAAUGAGCUAUGGAGAUGAGCCAUCGUCAGCCACAUGAGGAGCCACGGAAAGCCUGAUUGCUUGAAAUCGUCUGCGGCAAUUGGGUGAAGCAGACGACAUUACUACUCCAUGUGUCAAUGCGGUGAAGGAGUGACAGAAGCCAUUAAGCAGGCUUUCUUUAUCGAGGUAGCAUUGAUUCUGCUCCCAGCUCUUGUUCGAAAAGAAAGAACAGCACAAAAACUUUGUCACGGACUUUGCACGCCCAUAUAUCUUGUUGCACCAUUGCCCUGAAUGAUUGCACGCUUGCUUUUGCUAUCAUUACUAGUAAAAAGGAGACAUAUGCCUCCAUUUAUUUGCAAUGCUGUUGACAAAGCAGUGACCAUUAGCCAAUGCCACUGAUGUUGCUCUAAAUAGAUUACAGUUUGGCACGACUCUGAAUGUUGUAUGAUUAUAGGACCUGACUUUUUUGGGUUAUACUUUUCAAAGCGAUAAAAACCGGGCUGUUUGGUGGUACAUCCUAA